CCAAAGCAGAGGAAUUUAAAUACUUCAACCCUAAGUAACUCAGAGCACACUUUAAUGAUCAUCUCCUUCCUUCACGAAGGAAGAGGAUGGAAGAAAAGGAGAUGGGAGGCUGAAGGAAAACGAAGUAACACAUUAUGUAGUUUGCAUUAUGGUGUUGGAAUGUUUAACGCUCUUGAUGGCAAUAGUUCCGGCCUGUGUAUAUUUCGGCAAGACCACUGGCAGAAAUAGCCUUUGUGAGACAGUUCUGCAGUAUGAGGGUGAAGAAGGAAAUGGAGAAGUCCGAUGCAGAUCAGACCACCUGCUCUGCCUGUACGGUAAUCACUGCCUCUGACACACAUCAGGGACAACUGGGAGGAUGUGUGCUGGCACUCUGUGAACAGACGGUGGUGAGCUAACAGCAUGUUCUGCUUCUCCCUGCACUACUCUCCUCUACUCUUUGUGGAAGUGGCUCUGCAGCAGGAGACCAGUGAAGUAAUUUUAUAUUCAGAGAGAAGAAUGACUGAUGUAACUCAUUAACUGGACUUUGAUCACCGUUUACCCAACUACACAAAUUGAGGAGCAUCAAGAGAAGUCUCAAAAUUCUCACCUGUCUGCAAGCACCAAAAUUAAUAUUCUUUCUCUGAGAACUGGCAAGUAAAAAUGUUAAACAUGCAGAGAUAUGUUUAAAUUUUUAAAAAUUAAGUAAAUCAAAUUGUCACUCGAGUGCAUGAAAAUGUACUGUUAAUUAUAUUUUCUCUUUUAAACUAUCAAAAUGUUUAUGUGCUUGUGUUGCAUGUUGGAUUUUCCAUUCAGCUAGAUGUUUCAGGUCACCAGCAACUGAUCCUGACUUCCCUCCAAUCAUCACCCCAAGAAAGAAUGAACUUUGACGAAACUAGAUGGGCUCAGCAGUAACCAUACAAGUUCUCUGAUGUCAUCAGCUGGCAACAGUCUAACAGUACACACUGUCUGUCCUGGUCUGAAAGACUGUUAUGAGAGAUGGAGCCUGACAUCAAUGGACUGGAUGAAGUAUAUUGAAAAAUGUGGGAUCUGAGCAUGAUGUGAAUGGUAUGGAAUAAGGAGUGGAUACU